UGCCAGCAGCCGCGGUAAUACGGAGGGGGCUAGCGUUGUUCGGAAUUACUGGGCGUAAAGCGCGCGUAGGCGGACUGAUCAGUCAGGGGUGAAAUCCCGGGGCUCAACCCCGGAACUGCCUUUGAUACUGUCAGUCUUGAGUCCGGAAGAGGCGAGUGGAAUACCGAGUGUAGAGGUGAAAUUCGUAGAUAUUCGGUGGAACGCCAGUGGCGAAGGCGACUCGCUGGUCCGGUACUGACGCUGAGGUGCGAAAGCGUGGGGAGCAAACAGGAUUAGAUA
rnacentral:rRNA from 1 species